rnacentral:rRNA from 1 species
GAUGAACGCUGGCGGCGUGCCUAAUACAUGCAAGUCGAGCGAACAGACGAGGAGCUUGCUCCUCUGACGUUAGCGGCGGACGGGUGAGUAACACGUGGAUAACCUACCUAUAAGACUGGGAUAACUUCGGGAAACCGGAGCUAAUACCGGAUAAUAUAUUGAACCGCAUGGUUCAAUAGUGAAAGACGGUUUUGCUGUCACUUAUAGAUGGAUCCGCGCCGCAUUAGCUAGUUGGUAAGGUAACGGCUUACCAAGGCAACGAUGCGUAGCCGACCUGAGAGGCUGAUCGGCCACACUGGAACAGAGACACGGUCCAGCUUCCUAAGGGAGGCAGCAGUAGGGAAUCUUCCGCAAUGGGCGAAAGCCUGACGGAGCAACGCCGCGUGAGUGAUGAAGGUCUUCGGAUCGUAAAACGCUGUUAUUGGGGAAGAACAAAUGUGUAAGUAACUAUGCACGUCUUGACGGUACCUAAUCAGAAAGCAACGGCUAACUACGUG